rnacentral:sRNA from 1 species
CUGCAAACUUGCAAGGUUUAUUUUAAAUACACAUUACAGUGUUUUAUAUUAUGUAAUUCUAAGUUGUAAUUCAGCUUUUAACAAAUCUUUUUUUAGGUAGUAAAAAAAAAAAUACUCAACAACUAAUAGGCCCAGAGUUUAUUUCCAAAUGAGACACUAAAUUUAAAUAGUUUUGAGAUUUGAUUUCAGCAGAGGCACACAAACUCUUAAAAACGAGUUAUUGUCUGACAUUUUGUUUUUUCUCUAACUUGAAAAAUAGGUCACGGUCUAGAUCACAUUCUCGAUCCAGAGGAAGGCGAUACUCUCGCUCACGCAGCAGGAGCAGAGGACGAAGGUCAAGGUCAGCAUCUCCUCGACGAUCAAGAUCUAUCUCUCUUCGUAGAUCAAGAUCAGCUUCACUCAGAAGAUCUAGAUCCCCGUCGAGGUCAAGAUCAAGAUCCAGGUCUAUUUCACGACCAAGAAGCAGCCGAUCAAAGUCCAGAUCUCCAUCUCCAAAACGAAGUCGUUCCCCAUCAGGAAGUCCUCGAAGAAGUGCAAGUCCUGAAAGAAUGGACUGAAGCUCUCAAGUUCACCCUUUAGGGAAAAGUUAUUUUGUUUACAUUAUUAUAAGGGAUUUGUGAUGUCUGUAAAGUGUAAC